UACGGAGGAUCCAAGCGUUGUCCGGAUUUAUUGGGUUUAAAGGGUGCGUAGGCGGACCAUUAAGUCAGAGGUGAAAGUUUUCAGCUUAACUGGAAAAUUGCCUUUGAAACUGGCGGUCUUGAGUAUAGUUGAGGUGGGCGGAAUGUGUCAUGUAGCGGUGAAAUGCUUAGAUAUGAUACAGAACACCGAUUGCGAAGGCAGCUCACUAAACUAUAAC
rnacentral:rRNA from 1 species